AGAAAGUCUGGCACGGAGAGCCCGGGCAGCCGCCAGGGGCCCGCUCCGCUGCUGACGCCGCGGGGCACUGUGCUGGGCCCCGGUCACAAAGCAGAACCCAGGUGUCCCUGACUCCUUCUCAGGGCUCCCCCUGUGCUGCCCACAAGCCAGGAUGCUGUUUCAACCCCCUGGGACUACCAGUUCCUGCUCCUGUGACACUGCAGCCGGUCUCCAGGUCCAGCCCUGCCCUGCAGGAAUACUUAAGAUUAAAAAUAUAUUACCAUGUGGUCUCACUCUCUUCUCAGUAAAUAUGUGUAAAUAAGGAAGGGAAAUAUCCAGUGACCCCUGUAACAAUGCAGAUUAAAUCUGUUCUCUUGCAUGC